rnacentral:rRNA from 1 species
AAUCAACGCUGGCGGCGUGCCUAACACAUGCAAGUCGAACGCGAGAGGGGCUUCGGCCCCGAUUGAGUGGCGAACGGGUGAGUAACGCGUGGGUGACCUACCUUCGAGUGGGGGAUAACGUCCCGAAAGGGACGCUAAUACCGCAUAACAUCCUGCUUUUGAAUGGGUGGAGAUCAAAGCCGGGGAUCGCAAGACCUGGCGCUUGAUGAGGGGCCCGCGUCUGAUUAGCUAGNGGUGAGGUAACGGCCCACCAAGGCAACGAUCAGUAUCCGGCCUGAGAGGGCGGACGGACACACUGGGACUGAGACACGGCCCAGACUCCUACGGGAGGCAGCAGUGGGGAAUUGUUCGCAAUGGGCGCAAGCCUGACGACGCAACGCCGCGUGGAGGA